GCCAGGCGUGGUGGCGGGCGCCUGUAAUCCCAGCUACUCAGGAGGCUGAGGCAGGAGAAUCGCUUGAACCCAGGAGGUGGAGGUUUCAGUGAGCCAAGACCAUGCCACUGCACUCCAGCCUGGGUGACAGAGCAAGACUCUGUCUCAA
rnacentral:SRP_RNA from 2 species